rnacentral:misc_RNA from 1 species
GCUUUCAGAUAUCAGUCAAAUCCCUUUUUUUUUCUUCUGUUGUUCUCGUCUUCUCGCUCGUCUUUCUUCUGUCGUUAACCCAAUCGCCAUCAUCCUUAGCAUCUCUCCUCUUGCAUUCUUUCGUCGGCAGGCUGCGAUCGACGGCCCUCUUCGGCCCCACCCCACCCCACCCGCCCCCGGUCGCCGCCCCCACGCCCUCCUCUCCUCCUCCUUUGCUCUCACAAGUCGUCGUGCGUUUUGUGACGUACACAAGUACCACAACACGUACGCACGUACGCGAACGGGCACGCAACGCACGGACAUACUCAUCGGUCGUUUUUUUUGUCACCCGGUCCAUCUCUCUUUCUGUCUGGCGUGUGCUGCAGCUUCGUUCACCGCAUCUACGAGGGCGCCUACAAACGGCUACCACAGCCAUCACGUCAUCUCCGCCCGACGUCGCCCGUUUCCUUCCCCUUCUCUUGCAUCAACCCGCCCUCCCCUCCUCUUUUUCCUGCCCGGCCACCUUGCUCAAUAUGCUUGCCAAGUCGCUGGUUCAUCUGAUCGAGGUGUCGAAGCGCCCAGUGCGCGGUGUCGAUUACCUGCGCAACCGCUUCACCAAUAAGGGCACAGCCUUUACCGCAGCAGAGCGGUCGCACAUGAACGUGGAAGGGUUGCUGCCGCCCUCUGUCGAGACCCUCGAUGAUCAGGUGGAGCGGUACUGGGAUCAGCUGAACCGUUUCAACGAGCCGAUCAACCGCUAUCAGUUGCUGCGCAACGUGCAGAACACGAACGUCACCCUCUACUACGCCAUCUUGACGCGGUACCUGAAGCAGACACUGCCGAUCGUGUACACACCGACCGUCGGCGAGGCCUGCCAGCGCUACGGUGACCUCUAUCAGAAGGACCACGGACUGUACCUCGACGUCGCCAGCAAGGGCAAGGUGAGGAAGCUGAUUCAGAACCUUCGCAAGACGAACGUCGACGUCAUCGUGAUCACCGAUGGCUCCCGCAUUCUCGGCCUGGGCGACCUCGGCGCCAACGGCAUCGGCAUCAGCAUCGGCAAGUGCUCCCUGUACGUCGCUGCGGGCGGUGUGAAGCCGAGCCGCGUGCUGCCGGUCGUCAUGGACGUUGGCACAAACAACCUCGAGCUCCGCAACAACCCGCUUUAUCUCGGUUUGCGCAAGCCGAGGUGCGGCGACGCCGACUUUUACGCUCUGCUGGACGAGUUCAUGGAAGCUGUGAAGGACACCUGGCCCUCCGCUGUCGUGCAGUUCGAGGACUUCAGCAACAACCACUGCUUCGACAUGCUGGAGCGCUACCAAAAGAAGUACCGCUGCUUCAACGACGAUAUCCAGGGCACCGGCGCCGUCAUAGCUGCUGGUUUCCACACGGCGGUGAAGCUAAGCAAGAUCCCGAUGGAGCAGCAGCGCAUCGUCUUCUUCGGCGCCGGCUCUGCCGCGACCGGUGUGGCGGAGAGCAUCGCCGACCUCGCCGCUGAGGCCGGGAUGAAGAAAGAGGACAUCAAGAAGAGCAUCUUCUUCGUCGACUCGAUGGGCAUGGUGGCCACCAACCGCGGUGACAAGCUGGCCAAGCACAAGCUGGGAUGGGCCCGCACCGACAUCCCUGACGCAGUUAUUGCAAGCCUGAAGACUCUCGAGGACGUUGUGCGCUACGUGCGGCCGACCGCGCUCAUCGGCCUCGGCGCCACCGCCAACGUCUUUUCGCGCGAGAUUGUGGAGUUUCUGCACUCGUGCUGCCCUCACCCGAUCAUAUUCCCGCUGUCAAAUCCGUCCAGCAAAGCCGAAAUUGUGCCGGCGAACGCAUACAAGUGGACGAACGGCGAUGCCAUCGUGGCCUCCGGCAGCCCCUUUCCUGAGACGGUCGUCAGCGGCCGCACGCUGCAACCAUCGCAAGGCAACAACCUGUACAUCUUCCCCGGGGUGGGUCUCGGCUGCUGCAUUGCUCAGCCGCCGUACAUCCCGCAGGAGGUGCUGGUGGCGGCCGCUGCCUGCCUGAGCACGCUGGCCACGCCGGACGACCUCGCCAAGGGACAGCUGUACCCGUCUAUUGAGGAGGUGCGCCGCGUGUCGCGUGAGGUGGCCGUGGCGUGUAUUCAGAAGCUACAGGAGCUGGGGCUGGCCAAGGCAGAUCUGCCAGAUAACCGCCCAGACCUGAUGAAGCUGGUGAAGACGGCUUUCUGGGAGCCGCGCUACUUGCCCGAGAAUUAUUACCUGGAGAAGGAGUUUAUUUGCUAAGACAGAUAGAAGAUGGGAGGAGAAGCUUAACCGCGAGGGUGCAGAGCUUGUGCGCGCUGUGAGCGUGUGCGUGUGUGCUUUUAAGUUUGUCUCUGUCUCUCAUAGACUUGUUAUGUGCCUAUUCCUUCCUUGUUUUGUGCUCCCAUCGACCCUUCCUCCUCCUCCGUGUCUUUUGGAAGCGCACAGCGUGGGCCCUCAUCGCCCUCCUCUUCCUUAUUUGUUGUUGUGUGUGCGUGUGUGUCUUUUUCUUGUCGGCGCCAGUGACAACGCGUUUCUCAUCACCUCCUUCUCCCUACCCUACCACGCACAGGAGCAGGCAUCUUUACGCAUGAGCUCCACCGCGACUUUGCUGCUGCUGCUCUGCGGGUCCAACCCUCCCUUCUCUCUUCUCGCUCUCUGUUGUCGGUGUCUGUCCGCAGUUGACGUCUUUUUGUGUGUGCGUGUGUGUGACAUAACGCGUCGCACCGCUGCUCUGCGCAUCUGUUCACAGAAGGUGGCGUACACACAUGCACGCCGCUGACGCGUGUGCGCCCACAGCAGCAGCGGCACGCCGCCAGCAGAGAGAGCGGCAUUAUAUAUAUUUACGUAUAUGCAAUGGAGGCCAGUUGUGGGUUUUGACGAAGAAGCGAAUCAAGCGCCGAGGUAGGGGUCGGGUUGACGGUCGAUUGGUGGCCUUCGGUCGUAGAAGCGGUGUUCUUGGUGGCAAACCCUGUAUAUUUUCGCGCUUGCCGUCCGGUGGCUCAUUAUAAGCGAUGCUGAUGUCUAUGCAGGCAACACUUGGGAAGAGGUCUUUACUGGGGCGUUCCGAAAUGGAAUGGAGGUGUUGGCUGGGGAAGUUCGGGGAAGCACCGAAGCGCAGGACAUCUCCUCACCUCCUUAGGAGGAGACCACACACUCACACAUACAACGCACACACACACACACGGUGAAGGCGCCCCUUGAACAGGGCAUGCGGACGGCUAACGCUCGCUCGCACUUCCUAUUAACGUAUAUAUAUAUAUAUUUAUAUAUACAUAUUUAUUUAAAUAUCCUUCCCGAGACAGCAAGUGCGGGCACCAGCAUCUGACCUAGCGAACACAUAAAUAUAUAUGCAUAUAUACAUACAUAUGCAUGAAUGUCUGUGCGCAGGGAUGAGGAGAGAGGGCUCUCUGCUUGCUCUUUUUUGGGGGAUUUCUUUCGUCAAGUGUUGUACGCUUCUCUCGAGACAUGACGGAACGACAUGAUCGAAGGGAGAAGAGCACAACCGCGUUUUCUUGGUCCCGUCCUCUUUUCUGUGCCAUCGAUGGCAGGGCGGGGUAGGGUGGGCCAACCGCCCACACAGUGCGCGGUGUCACAAGGUCCAGCACCAACCAUACACUCUCUCUGUGUGGGAGGAAGCCAAGCAGCCCCUCCUUAUCUCCUGCCAAUGCCGAGCCAUCUCUGGUGGUGGCAAGGCAAGGCACCUACGGCGCAGGGAGGUCAGAGCGAUUUACGGCUGCUGAUGUCUGCGGUCGGGUUAAUG